rnacentral:sRNA from 1 species
CUUGGUCAUUUAGAGGAAGUAAAAGUCGUAACAAGGUUUCCGUAGGUGAACCUGCGGAAGGAUCAUUACAGAAUAAACUUGAUAGGAUUGUUACUGGCUCUUUCUUCAAGAGUAUGUGCACACCUGUCAUUUUUAUAUUUCCACCUGUGCACCCUUUGUAGUUCUGGAACAAAAAACCCAUGCUUUCGCUGCAUGAUAGAGGGACUGCCGUGCUGUUCAAGCCGGCUUUCCUUUACCCCCCCAGAUCUAUGUUUUUUAAUAACACACCCCACGUAUGUUACAGAAUGACAUUAGAAAGGCCCUAAAAAGCCUAUAUAAAAACAAUAUACAACUUUCAGCAACGGAUCUCUUGGCUCUCGCAUCGAUGAAGAACGCAGCGAAAUGCGAUAAGUAAUGUGAAUUGCAGAAUUCAGUGAAUCAUCGAAUCUUUGAACGCACCUUGCGCUCCUUGGUAUUCCGAGGAGCAUGCCUGUUUGAGUGUCAUUAAAUCAUCAAACCUUACAAUUUUGAAAGGCUUGGAUUUGGGAGCGUUGUUGGCCUUUCUUUUUGGUCAGCUCUCCUUAAAUGCAUUAGCUAGAAGCUUUUUGUAGCCAUCUCUUGGUGUGAUAAUUAUCUAUACCAUUGAAUGUACAAGGCUUUUUGCUUCUAACCAGCGUCUAAUGGGACAAUUUUGACAAUUUGACCUCAAAUCAGGUAGGACUACCCGCUGAACUUAAGCAUAUCAAUAAGCGGAGGAAAAGAAACUAACAAGGAUUCCCCUAGUAACUGCGAGUGAAGCGGGAAAAGCUCAAAUUUAAAAUCUGGCAGCCUUUUGGCUGUCCGAGUUGUAACCUAGAGAAGUGUUAUCCGUGUUGGACCAUGUUUAAGUCUCCUGGAAUGGAGCGUCGUAGAGGGUGAGAAUCCCGUCUUUAAUGUGGACUACCAAUGCAUUGUGAUGCGCUCUCAAAGAGUCGAGUUGUUUGGGAAU